GACGAACGCUGGCGGCGUGCUUAACACAUGCAAGUCGAACGGAAAGGCCCUGCUUUUGUGGGGUGCUCGAGUGGCGAACGGGUGAGUAACACGUGAGUAACCUGCCCUUGACCUUGGGAUAACUUGAGGAAACUGGGGCUAAUACCGGAUAGGAGCUCCUGCUGCAUGGUGGGGGUUGGAAAGUUUCGGCGGUUGGGGAUGGACUCGCGGCUUAUCAGCUUGUUGGUGGGGUAGUGGCGUACCAAGGCGUUGACGGGUAGCCGGCCUGAGAGGGUGACCGGCCACAUUGGGACUGAGGUACGGCCCAGACUGCUACGGGAGGCAGCAGUGGGGAAUAUUGCACAAUGGGCGGAAGCCUGAUGCAGCAACGCCGCGUGCGGGAUGACGGCCUUCGGGUUGUAAACCGCUUUCGCCUGUGACGAAGCGUGAGUGACGGUAAUGGGUAAAGAAGCACCGGCUAACUACGUG
rnacentral:rRNA from 1 species